CUUGCCAAUUAUUUCAUGCUCGGUUUCAGUAAAAAUUUUGUUUGAUGUUAAAAGAAAAAUCGGUCAUCAAAGCUAUGGAAGAAAAAUAGUAGCCAUUUUGAGGACAACAGCGCUCCAUGCGCAUAACUCUUGAAUGGAAGAGCCGCCACCUUUACGAGAGGAAAUGUAUCAGCCCCACGUUUUGAAGCAGGCGCUCCAUUUGCUCCCUGCAACCUCUUCCCUUCAGUUUAGCGAAGUUUUCACCAUCACUGAAGGCUUCACUGAGCCUCUGAGCAAUUUUGUCCCACUUGGCCAGUUAUUCGGGUCUGUGGCAACUUGUCUCGCCAAAUGCAAGUCCACAAACGGCCAACGAAAUGGAGGCAUACUUGAGAAAAAUCAAGAAAAACAGCGAUGUUCACUGGAUGCAAAAUCGGAAGUACCAUUACAUAUCUUCAUUAUCAAAACAAAAGUAGUGCACUGCCAUGUUGAAUUAUCGACAGGAUGAAAGGGUUUGCGGUCAAAUUGCCUAUGACCAAACUUGCCUACGAACAAACCGGCCUACAACUGUUCAGCCAGCCAAUGUAGGCGACUUCCCCUCCUCACGCAGAACGCAAUAUUUCCUCCGCUGGAUACGCGUCAGCUUGUGGUCGGCAACAAGUCACAUCUGGGCUUCAACCAGCCUUGCUUCUCCGUUGAGUAACUGUAUGAGGACGUAGAAUGGCAGGCUGCAGCAGCCGCUGGCACGUCAAUUCAAUGUGUGAUGCCAGCCUUCAAUGUCAUUAUUUGUUCAGACUGGCUGCAUGAAGAUGGACCAGUCCUUCACGGGGAAUAUGGCAUUGUAGAUCCACUGUGAUGCAAUGUAUUCCGCCAGCUCUUUAUGUGGACCCUCAGCUCCAAGGCGUAGGCGCUCGAACUGUGUGAUUAUUUCUGUGUAUGGCAAGGAAGGAACCACUAACAACUUCUCACCCACCCAUGGGUGCCUUGAAUGACAUGAACAAGAAACUACAGCCCUUUUUAUAGCAGUCAAGUAGAUUUGAAGAUGGAUCAAAAUUGCAGCAAUGUGAUUGGCAGAUAUUAUUGGCAUUUUGGAUUCAAUAUCAUGAAGGUCUUCAAACAAUGUCGUAUUGAAGUUGAGAAAGUCUCACCUUUGCUAAGUGCUGUGCAUGGGACAUUGACAGGUUUGUAUACGUAUCAUUAAACAAUAUCCUAUUGAAGUUAAAAAAGUCUCACUGUCUUUGCUAAGUGCUGCGCAAAGGACACUAAACAAUAUCCUGUUGAAGUUGAAAAAGUCUCACCUUCUUUGCUAAGUGCCAGGCAAGGGACAUUAAACAAUAUCCUUUUUAAGGUUAAAAAAGUCACCGUCUUUGCUAAGUGCCGCGCAAGGGACAUUAAACAAUAUCCUUUUGAAGUUAAAAAAGUCACCUUCUUUGCUAAGUGCCACACAAGUGAAAGAAACAUCU